AGGACGAACGCUGGCGGUAGGCCUAACACAUGCAAGUCGAACGGCAGCACGGUAAGAGCUUGCUCUUAUGGGUGGCGAGUGGCGGACGGGUGAGGAAUACAUCGGAAUCUACCGUUUUGGUGGGGGAUAACGUAGGGAAACUUACGCUAAUACCGCAUACGCCCUUCGGGGGGAAAGCCGGGGACCAGCAAUGGCCUGGUGCUGAUAGAUGGAGCCGAUGUCGGAUUAGCUAGUUGGUGAGGUAAUGGCUCGACCGAAGGCGACGAUCCGUAGCUGGUCUGAGAGGAUGAUCAGCCACACUGGAACUGACGACCACGGGUCCAAGUACCGUCCGUACGGGAGGCAAGGCAGGUAGGGAAUUAGGUGGAAC
rnacentral:rRNA from 1 species